rnacentral:rRNA from 1 species
GAUGAACGCUGGCGGCGUGCCUAAUACAUGCAAGUCGAGCGAACAGACGAGGAGCUUGCUCCUCUGACGUUAGCGGCGGACGGGUGAGUAACACGUGGAUAACCUACCUAUAAGACUGGGAUAACUUCGGGAAACCGGAGCUAAUACCGGAUAACAUGUUGAACCGCAUGGUUCAACAGUGAAAGACGGUCUUGCUGUCGCUUAUAGAUGGAUCCGCGCCGCAUUAGCUAGUUGGUAAGGUAACGGCUUACCAAGGCAACGAUGCGUAGCCGACCUGAGAGGGUGAUCGGCCACACUGGAACUGAGACACGGUCCAGACUCCUACGGGGGGCAGCAGUGGGAAAUAUUGCACAAUGGGCGGAAGCCUGAUGCAGCGACGCCGCGUGAGGGAUGACGGCCUUCGGGUUGUAAACCUCUUUCAGCAGGGACGAAGCGUAAGUGACGGUACCUGCAGAAGAAGCACCGGCUAACUAUGUG